rnacentral:rRNA from 1 species
GACGAACGCUGGCGGCGCGCUUAACACAUGCAAGUCGAACGGAAAGGCCUGCUUUCCCUUGUGGAUUGCGGGUACUCGAGUGGCGAACGGGUGAGUAACACGUGAGUGAUCUGCCCCCAACUUGGGUAUAAGCCUGGGAAACUGGGUCUAAUUCCCGAUAGGACUGCAGGGUGGUGCCUGUGGUGGAAAACGAUUUUCUAGUGGUUGGGGAUGAGCUCGCGGCCUAUCAGCUUGUUGGUGGGGUAAUGGCCUACCAAGGCGGCGACGGGUAGCCGGCCUGAGAGGGUGGUCGGCCACAUUGGGACUGAGAUACGGCCCAGACUCCGACGGGAGGCAGCAGUGGGGAAGAUUGCACAAUGGGCGGAAGCCUGAUGCAGCGACGCCGCGUGGGGGAUGACGGCCUUCGGGUUGUAAACUCCUUUCGACCGCGAGGAAGCCACCUGGUUGGAAGGGUGGUGACGGUAGUGGUAGAAGAAGCACCGGCUAACUACGUG